CAGUCGCCGCGGGAAUACGGAGGGGGCUAGCGUUGUUCGGAAUUACUGGGCGUAAAGCGUGCGUAGGUGGUGGUUUAAGUCCGUUGUGAAAGCCCUGGGCUCAACCUGGGAAUUGCAGUGGAUACUGGGUCACUAGAGUGUGGUAGAGGAUAGUGGAAUUUCCGGUGUAGCAGUGAAAUGCGUAGAGAUCGGAAGGAACAUCUGUGGCGAAGGCGACUAUCUGGGCCAACACUGACACUGAGGCACGAAAGCGUGGGGAGCAAACAGGAUUAGAUACCCCUGUAGUCCCUGUCUCUUAUAA
rnacentral:rRNA from 1 species